CAGUCGCCGCGGUAAUACGGAGGGUGCAAGCGUUAAUCGGAAUUACUGGGCGUAAAGCGCACGCAGGCGGUUACUCAAGUCAGAGGUGAAAGCCCGGGGCUCAACCCCGGAACUGCCUUUGAAACUAGGUGACUAGAAUCUUGGAGAGGUCAGUGGAAUUCCGAGUGUAGAGGUGAAAUUCGUAGAUAUUCGGAAGAACACCAGUGGCGAAGGCGACUGACUGGACAAGUAUUGACGCUGAGGUGCGAAAGCGUGGGGAGCAAACAGGAUUAGAUACCCGUGUAGUCCCUGUCUCUUAUAC
rnacentral:rRNA from 1 species